AUAUUAACCAAUAAAAAAUUAUUAUGNAAAUAUUUGGUCCUUUCGUACUAAAAUAU
rnacentral:rRNA from 1 species